CAAUUAGGAACAAAUAUAAGAAGAAAUUUCCAUAAGAAACAUAAACGUAGAAAAUUCGAUAAAUAAAUAACAAACUGAAAUCACCCCAUCAUUUGAAAACGUGCAAUGCAGUGUAUUUCUCAUCGGUAUACAUGAUGGAAUAUAGUGACGUUGCAUGCGACAUAAAGGAUGAUAAAAAUCCUAUGAUUAGAAUCCGGAUUUUUAUGCUUUUAUGGGAGACUUAAAGAUACAAAAAUGUGUAGAAAAUACAAUACAUAACAUGUAAGAAUCUAUAAAAUAAUAUAAGAUCAUUCUAUAAGUAAUGUCGUGUUUAUAUGUAAUAAAAAUUUAAAAAAAUGUACAAAUUUUAUUAUAUUCAUUAAUAAAUAUAUAUAUAUAUAUAACAGUAGAUAUAUAUAUAUAUAGAUAUAACAGUAGAUAUAUAUAUAUAUAUCUCUACUGUUUUCUCGAACUACGUCUGACAUUUUUUAAUUGCUCUUUGGGAAAAUUUUAUGAUAUCGAUGAAAUAGAAUUACUUCCAAUCGACAAGUACAUAUUUAAAUUCGUUAAUAGUUACAAUUUUCUUUUAUAUUAGUAAUUCAAAAUGAAACAUAAGAAACGACGUUACUUAUGGAAUGGAAUAAAUGUUUACCCAGAUCCUUCCCUUUUAUUAUAUUCAUGAAGAUAUGUGUUUACAUAAAUAUCCAUAGUCUACUCAUGACAUAAUUAUAAUAGAUGACGAAAACGCUAACGUAUUAGCACGGCAAGUGGUUGAUACUAUCUUUUUAUCGUAUUACAGGUAAGCAGUGUGACUUGUGACAAAAUAAUACGGACAUUAAGAUAUCUAGUUUACCAACUCUCACUUUUGAAAUCGAUAUAUUUAUUUAUUAUGGUCCGGAAUAGGUAACUCUUAUCCAAAAUACAUAUGUGUAUUCUUUUAUUAAUUUAAUGACCUUGUAUGAAAAAAAUAUGUGGUAUGUGUGAAAUUUCUUUUUUAUUACUCGUUCAAAGAUACAAACACGAUAGAGAUUGUUGGAGAUAUUUCAUUAAUGGAGAAUGGUCAUAACGUUGGCGCUUUGAUUGACACGAUUAUCUGUAGCCGCAUAGGUAUACGAAUAUCUUAUCUCAACAUGUAAAAGAAAAAUAAGAAUUGUACAAUGAAAGGCAAUGAGUAACACAUAUGUUUCUCGAACUGCCAACUGACAUUAAAUAUUAACAAAAACUAGAACAUGUACAAUAUUGUUCGCGUGAAUUUCAGUUAUUCGUCCUUAACCAAUCAUAGAAUUCGAUUUCUGGUUCUAAGUAUGUUAGGCUCUGUAUAAGUAAUAUCUUUAUUUAUAUUUUAACUGGGGCCCAUUAUUUUGAUUAAUGUAAUUGAUUAAUGUGCGAACAUCGUAAUUGUUUUAAAAAUAUAUUCUUACUGAAUAUUUGCGUUAUUAAAAACAAGUGAAAGUAUAUAUAACAAAUUUAGAAAAGAUACGUCAGAGCAAAUACCUUUAACUUUGACGAGAUUCCUCACAGACUUUCAAGGUAACAAAUGUCAUUUAGUCAAAGUGUCUCCGUUACAAUUUAUGCUACAUAUGCGCAUUUCUUACAAUGAGUACCAUUCGAUUAUAUGUAGGUGAAACGUUUAUGGAACACAAUAGCAUGUCUGAAUAAAAUAAAACAAACGCUUUUACUUUAAAUUAAAAGAAUGAUUUAAAAAGAAAAUAAACAAAAUACAACGACUUUUAAUUAUAAAAAUAAGUAACUGAUGAUGUUAAAUAAUAUAUUUGAAUGUUUGUAGCUCAUAAUACAAAAUAUUGCAGACUUAUUAUAAUUAUGUACUUCAAUAUCAACUAAAUUGCCUUUAUAAAGAAUUUAAAAAUGCGAAAUAAGAAAAGAAGAGGAAAUGAAUAAUUGUAUUUAAAAUGAAAAAACUUAAGCACAAAUUGAAAAUGAGACAAUUCUGUUAAAAGCGUUGUUAAUGAAUGUUGUUUAAAAUCGUUAAGUAAUAUUAUCCACAUCUUUGUAUUGGCGAUAAAAAUCGAGUUUGAUUAAAAUAAUUAUUGUAAUACUUGACAAAUUCACUUUGAAGUGGGAUUUAUCUGUCAAUAAUCAAUAAGCACAAAGACACUCGUUAUUUAACUGGUAGAGCGGAAACAGUUAGCUACAAUUAAAGGAAGUAAUGGAACAGGUAAGUCUAUACCAAUAUUGAUAUUAUAUUAAUUUUUAAUAAAAAUGUACAUUUUAAUAUCAACAUUAAAUUCAUUGUAUCUACAACUUAUAAAAAGGGUUGCACGUUUUAAUUAAAAUUAAAAAAAUCCAACAAACAGGUACAAUGAUCGUAGAAUAUUAAAACGAUUUAGUUGAAUCAAACUUAUAAUCGAUUCUCAUUCAAUAUUGUUAUUUGACCGUCCGUAAUUUUUACAAACAAAUUUUACGACGACUAUACAAACAUUUUAUAAAGGUAAAACAUUGUCGCAAACUUUAAGAUCCGUUAUAGAUGCGAUAAUAGACAAUUAUUCUGUGAUAUCUAUAAAUCCUUUAGAUAUUUAUAUUCUACAGAUACAUUGCUAGUAUAUCUUUUCUUUUUCAUUUUUAUACAGACAUAUUUUACUUUUUUUCGGAAACAUUUGAUAUAAAAGAUAUAUUUAUUAUUCUACGUUUCUAUUAAAAGAUCUGUCAAAUAGUGGAAUCACCCACUUGUAUGCCUACUUUCAACGCAAAAUGUAACAAAUUGCUUCUUUGAAUUUUAAAAACCAAACAAAUUGAAGCUGUAUUUUUAGAUUUAAAAAAUUUUAAAGAUUUAAAAAAGGAGAAUAAAAAAAGGAAAAUUUGAGUAAACCUGACAAAUAAUUAGGAAAUUAUUGAAAUCUUUAAGAAUUAUUAUAUUACUUGAAAUAAUACCUAGUACAUGUAUUAUAUUUAUUAUUACACAUACUAUAUUCUGUACAUAGUUUCGUUCGAAUAGAAUAGAAUGCACUUUACCAGUCGAUCGUUAAUUUUUAUCUGAUCGAAACAUUAAAAUUUUUCUAUUUCAAAACUCCUAUUAGUAUGUAAAUGAGGAAUAAUUAUAGGAGUUGGCAGUAAAGCGAGUAAACAGACACGGUCUCCAGUCAUGCUCGACUCUCGUAACUGCUCGUAACACACGCUCGAGCAUUGGGAAUGCGGAACCGCAUCCGCUUGGGACUUAUGUUAGACAGUUCAUAUACGGAAGUGUCAAUCGAAUCUGUAGACACGGUCGCCUUGACCGCGGCUGACGUCGCAGUUCAAUGUCGGUGUAACGCGACUUUUUUAUUAUUAUUACUAAUAUUGCUGCGCGGUUGCAUAAUUUCACGGAUAGGAACAAGGAACUGGCAAACGACAGGAGGAAGAAAAAGAAACAACAUGAUGGACAUUGAGAAGUGCGUGGAAAUUGCAGGAACACAAAGAACAAACAACUUUCAGAAAUUACAAUUUUACCUUCGUCCUAAAUCGAUUCAUUAUCGACAAAGUAGAUGUUUGCACGAGGCGUCAGGGAAACCGUCAUCAUUAAUCAAGAUACUAACUUAAUCCUAGAACUAUAGAGUGGCUCACACAAGUAUUGCAACAUCCGUAGAAACUUUUGUGUGUGUUACUAUACCUAACAAUAAGUGUUCAGAUACUUUGGACAGCCACUUGAUAUUACAAUUAUAAAUGCGAAGGAGGCAUGACGAACUGCUAUACCAAUUUUAACGUUACUCAGACCUUUCUAUGAAGAAAACAACGAAAAGUAUCAACUUAAAAAAUCGGUAAAAUUCCUAUAUAUGAUAAUCUAUGCAUAAAAUUCUUCCAAUCUAUUUCUUUCUCCUAUGUCAGAAUGUCGUAGUAUUUCGAAUCAAAUAUAUAUUUAUAAUUAUAUAUAUAUACACACACAAGAAGGUGUUUAGCUAAGGAAGAUGUUCUAUUCUAUUACCACUUUUCCUGUUUAAGAUAGUUUUCAACUAUUUCUAGAUUGCAAAUUUUUAUGCAAAUUUAUAUUUUCACAAUUGAAGAAACAUAGAAAUUAAUUAGAUAUUCAUUGUAUCUAUUAAAAAUUAUAAUCUUUAUUGUAUAUGUAUAGCUGUACAUAUAUGUAUAUAUUUUUUAUGUAAAUUUUAUUAUGUAAAUUGUGCAUUACGUGCGCUCACACGUACCUACAUAUACAUACUUCGUUUCUGUACAAUUGUAUUGUAUCGUACUGCGUCUAGAUUUCGUAAGAUAUGAUGGUACAUGCUGUUGUAUUGGUUGGACUUGACAAGGGAGCCGAUACACGUCGAUUUCGAACUUUGCACGAGUAUUCGUUAGACGUUUCUAGAAGUAUAAGCAUAAUUCGUUCGUACCUGUUUUUUACGUCAAAGAAAUCAACCCUUUUAUUCAAGCCAGACCACCUCUGUAAGUGCUUCUAAGUCGUAAAUGACAAAAUAUAUCUAAAAAUGAUUGAAAUAAACGUUAUACCGUGUCUUGAGGCCUAUAAAUCGGCGCGAAAAAUUUGUUGAAAAAAAAAAAUCAUGUCUUUUACGAAAAUUCCAUGAAUAGGUACGGUAUAGUAUUGUAUGUAUUAUAUUGUAUAUCUAUAUGUAUACGUAAUAUAAAAUAAAAUUUCACUGUAAGCGUCUGUAAGCUAAUCUCGAGAACUGCUAAACGCAUUUUUAUACGGUUCUCACCAUUUAUCGAAUAAGGUUUAGGCGUGUGAAACGUUAACAUAUGACAAAGGAAGCAGAAAUCUAAAAUAUGAGUCAGAGACUAGAGAUGGCAUGAACUGUUACUUGUGAAUCACGACUCGAUCACGUUCGUCUGCAAUCAAGGGGAUUUUUUACAGCAAUUUGUAAUUUUUCCUGAUCGCUUCUCAUUGAUAAAGGGCAUAACUGUUCUUCGCACGAAUCACGUAACUUGUAUAUUUUAUAUUAACGAUAUCAAGCGAAUAUUGCGAUUUUAAAAUAGAGAGGAAGAAUUAAUGUUUUACUCUUUAAGACACUGAUAUCAGAUGAAGAAAGGAAAAUUGAAUCACUUUUCGUUUUUAAUAUUGAAUAAAGUAAAUUUACGAUAUAUAAAAAAAACUUAAGGCAAUUUUAAAUUAAAGUUCUAUGCAGAUAUCUCUAUGCAAGCUAUAUGCAAGUAUUUUGUAAAAAAUAAUUCAAUCAGGAUCAAGAAUUGCGAUCACACUGAGCAAAUUCAUCCGAGAUAGAAAAAAACUUCAUUCAUCACGGUCGUGAAUGAAGUUAGAUCACGACCAUGAUUGUGAUUCUACGAUCACUAUGAUAGAUCACCCGUUAGUGAUCUUACACGCCAUCUCUAGUGACAAUCGUUUCACGGACUAUAGAAUGCCUAGCAACCCAACAGAAAUUCACAAAACUGUCAACUAUGUUACUAGAAGAGAUUAUAUAAUAUAUAAUGUUCCGGGAAAAACCUGAGUAUGUAAGUACCAACUAGUAUUUGUACAUAGAUCGUGUUUAUUGUAUAGUUUUAUACAUUAAUAUGUUGUAUAGCAUGCGUAUAAAUGGUGAAUAUUUGUUACAUAUUCAGGAGGCUAAGCAGGUUAAGCGAGAUCAAGUGCUUGUAACCUCAUAGCGGAACCAACAAAGAUUAAACAUCUAAUUAUAUAUAUAUAUAUAUAUAUAUAUAUUAAGUUUCAUUCAAAUUGUGCCUUCUUGCAUCCUUACAUUUCGCAUGAAUGUAUAAAAAUUCGCAGUCUGAUUAUUUCCAACGCUGUACUACUUUAAAUAAAUAUCAUUUUCUUCUUCAAAUCUUCUUCCACAAUAAAAAUGCCUCAAAAAUGAAGCAAUUCUAGAGGCAGUUAAAGAAGAAAGUGGAAAUUUGUGGUUUAUGUUUUAUGUAGCUUUAACCGCAAGAAGUCUUUAACAGCGCAAGCUGUUUCCUUUCAAUACUGUUUCUAGCUCUCCUCUUUUUUAUUCUUUUUCUUUAAGCAACAGAAUCGAAAAAAUAUGCAUAUUCAAUCAAUACAAAUCCCACAAAAAAAUAUAUUCUCCGUGUAACUUCUACAUACAUUUUCCAAUUAGUUUGAAAUUUUAUCAAUAUAACCAUGGCAGUCUCAUUAUAGCACUAAUGAAAUUUCAAAAUGUUUUCCAUAACACACACGAUAUAUGUAUGUAUAUGUAUAUAGCUACGUAUAAAAGUCUUCUACAUUUUCUAGCGAUCCACUAUAGCUAUAAACAGUCUGUCAUCAAAGAAAUUUGAGAAGCGACGACCUAUUUGCCUUUCCUACCGUUUCUCUCGAUCCGAACCCCCCAUUUCUACAUCGAAGAAUCUCGGAACGUGAGAAAAGCAAGUCCCUCCUCCCGUGGCUUACCAGGUCAUCUUCAAACUCGUCGUCGUCCGUGUCCGAGUCAGAGCGACCUCUCAGCUUUCGAACUUUCUUUUUCACCUCUUUCUUCACCACCCUCGUUAUUGCAUUUUCCGG